UACGUAGGGUCCAAGCGUUGUCCGGAUUUAUUGGGCGUAAAGAGCUCGUAGGCGGUUUGGUAAGUUGGAUGUGAAAUCUCCAGGCUCAACUUGGAGGGGUCAUUCGAUACUGCCAUGACUAGAGUUCGGUAGGGGAGUGUGGAAUUCCUGGUGUAGCGGUGAAAUGCGCAGAUAUCAGGAGGAACACCGGUGGCGAAGGCGGGACUCUGGGCCGAUACUGACGCUGAGGAGCGAAAGCGUGGGGAGCAAACAGG
rnacentral:rRNA from 1 species